rnacentral:rRNA from 1 species
AACGCGAAGAACCUUACCUGGGUUUGACAUGUCUGGAAUCCUGCAGAGAUGCGGGAGUGCCGCAAGGAACCAGAACACAGGUGCUGCAUGGCUGUCGUCAGCUCGUGUCGUGAGAUGUUGGGUUAAGUCCCGCAACGAGCGCAACCCUUGCCCUUAGUUGCCAGCACGUAAUGGUGGGAACUCUAGGGGGACUGCCGGUGACAAACCGGAGGAAGGUGGGGAUGACGUCAAGCCAGCAUGCCCCUUACACCCUGGGCUACACACGUGCUACAUUGGGCGAGACAAUGAGAUGCAAAUCUGCAAAGACUAGCUAAUCUAUAAACUCGUUCUAAGUUCGGAUUGUAGGCUGCAACUCGCCUACAUGAAGUUGGAAUCGCUAGUAAUCGCUGGUCAGCUAUACAGUGGUGAAUUCGUUCCCGGGUCUUGUACACACCG